CGGCUCGGCUCGGCUCCGCUC
rnacentral:miRNA from 1 species